rnacentral:rRNA from 1 species
UACGUAGGGUGCAAGCGUUGUCCGGAAUUAUUGGGCGUAAAGAGCUCGUAGGCGGUCUGUCGCGUCGGCUGUGAAAACCCGGAGCUCAACUCCGGGCCUGCAGUCGAUACGGGCAGACUGGAGUUCGGCAGGGGAGACUGGAACUCCUGGUGUAGCGGUGAAAUGCGCAGAUAUCAGGAGGAACACCGGGGGCGAAGGCGGGUCUCUGGGCCGAUACUGACGCUGAGGAGCGAAAGCGUGGGGAGCGAACAGG